ACGGAAGGCAGCAGUGGGGAAUAUUGCACAACGGGGGGAACCCUGAUGCAGCGAUGCCGCGUGGAGGAAGAAGGUUUUCGGAUUGUAAACUCCUGUCUUAAAGGACGAUAAUGACGGUACUUUAGGAGGAAGCUCCGGCUAACUACGUGCCAGCAGCCGCGGUAAUACGUAGGGAGCGAGCGUUGUCCGGAAUUACUGGGUGUAAAGGGAGCGUAGGCGGGAUUGCAAGUCAGAUGUGAAAACUAUGGGCUUAACCCAUAGACUGCAUUUGAAACUGUAGUUCUUGAGUGAAGUAGAGGUAAGCGGAAUUCCUGGUGUAGCGGUGAAAUGCGUAGAUAUCAGGAGGAACACCGGUGGCGAAGGCGGCUUACUGGACUGUAACUGACGUUGAGGCUCGAAAGCGUGGGGAGCAAACAGGAUUAGAUACCCUGGUA
rnacentral:rRNA from 1 species